rnacentral:rRNA from 1 species
AUUGAACGCUGGCGGCAUGCCUUACACAUGCAAGUCGAACGGCAGCACGGGAGCAAUCCUGGUGGCGAGUGGCGAACGGGUGAGUAAUGUAUCGGAACGUACCUUUCAGUGGGGGAUAACGUAGCGAAAGUUACGCUAAUACCGCAUAUUCUGUGAGCAGGAAAGCAGGGGAUCGCAAGACCUUGCGCUGAUUGAGCGGCCGAUAUCAGAUUAGCUAGUUGGUGAGGUAAAGGCUCACCAAGGCGACGAUCUGUAGCGGUCUGAGAGGAUGAUCCGCCACACUGGAACUGAGACACGGUCCAGACUCCGUACGGGAGGCAGCA